rnacentral:rRNA from 1 species
AGUGAACGCUGGCGGUAGGCCUAACGCAUGCAAGUCGAACGGCAGCACAGUAAGAGCUUGCUCUUACGGGUGGCGAGUGGCGGACGGGUGAGGAAUACAUCGGAAUCUACUUUUUCGUGGGGGUUAACGUAGGGAAACUUACGCUAAUACCGCAUACGACCUACGGGUGAAAGCAGGGGAUCUUCGGACCUUGCGCGAUUGAAUGAGCCGAUGACGGAUUAGCUAGUUGGCGGGGUAAAGGCCCACCAAGGCGACGAUCCGUAGCUGGUCUGAGAGGAUGAUCAGCCACACUGGAACUGAGACACGGUCCAGACUCCUACGGGAGGCAGCAGUGGGGAAUAUUGGACAAAGGGCGCAAGCCUGAUCCAGCCAUACCGCGUGGGUGAAGAAGGCCUUCGGGUUGUAAAGCCCUUUUGUUGGGAAAGAAAAGCAGCAGGUUAAUACCCCGCUGUUCUGACGGUACCCAAAGAAUAAGCACCGGCUAACUUCGUG